CAGCCCCUACGGGAGGCAGCAGUGGGGAAUAUUGCACAAUGGGGGAAACCCUGAUGCAGCAACGCCGCGUGAGUGAAGAAGUAUUUCGGUAUGUAAAGCUCUAUCAGCAGGGAAGAAGAAAGACGGUACCUGACUAAGAAGCCCCGGCUAACUACGUGCCAGCAGCCGCGGUAAUACGUAGGGGGCAAGCGUUAUCCGGAUUUACUGGGUGUAAAGGGAGCGUAGACGGCAGCGCAAGUCUGGAGUGAAAUGCCGGGGCCCAACCCCGGAACUGCUC
rnacentral:rRNA from 1 species